UUGAANUGGGCGCAAGCCUGAUCCAGCCAUGCCGCGUGAGUGAUGACGGCCUUAGGGUUGUAAAGCUCUUUCGCUCGGGACGAUAAUGACGGUACCGAGAUAAGAAGCCCCGGCUAACUUCGUGCCAGCAGCCGCGGUAAUACGAAGGGGGCUAGCGUUGUUCGGAAUUACUGGGCGUAAAGCGCGUGUAGGCGGGUCUUUAAGUCAGGGGUGAAAUGCCAAGGCUCAACCUUGGAACUGCCUUUGAUACUGGAGAUCUUGAGUCCGGAAGAGGUGAGUGGAAUUGCGAGUGUAGAGGUGAAAUUCGUAGAUAUUCGCAAGAACACCAGUGGCGAAGGCGGCUCACUGGUCCGGAACUGACGCUGAGACGCGAAAGCGUGGGGAGCAAACAGGAUUAGAUACCCUGGUAGUCCACGCUGUAAACGAUGGAUGCUAGCCGUUGGGGAGCUUGCUCUUCAGUGGCGCAGCUAACGCUUUAAGCAUCCCGCCUGGGGAGUACGGUCGCAAGAUUAAAACUCAAAGGAAUUGACGGA
rnacentral:rRNA from 1 species